AGAAUUGUUUCAAUCCUUUAUGACUGAAUGAAUAGAGAGAAGAUUAGCAUAACUCCCGGACCUAAGGAUGACACGUAAAGUCGUGAAGCGCAAUACAAUUAA
rnacentral:misc_RNA from 13 species